AAGUCGUAACAAGGUUUCCGUAGGUGAACCUGCGGAAGGAUCAUUAAUGAUUGCGAAUGGUUACCUUUGGUGCUGGCUCGUUGCCGAGCAAGUGCACGUUGGUGGCUUUUCAUCCCACUACUACCCGUUGUGAACCUUUGGCCUCUUGCUAGCUUUGGCUGGCAGAGGAUUUUUACACACACAACUCGAAUGUAAUGAAAACGUUUGUCGUGCGCAAAGCACUAAUGUACAA
rnacentral:misc_RNA from 1 species